GAUUACAUAUCAUCCUCUCUGUAAUCGCGGCUG
ncrna:unclassified sequences S4-Bacteroidia ribosomal protein leader